CCUACGGGUGGCUGCAGUGGGGAAUAUUGGGCAAUGGGCGCAAGCCUGACCCAGCAACGCCGCGUGAAGGAAGAAGGCUUUCGGGUUGUAAACUUCUUUUCUCAGGGACGAAGCAAGUGACGGUACCUGAGGAAUAAGCCACGGCUAACUACGUGCCAGCAGCCGCGGUAAUACGUAGGUGGCAAGCGUUAUCCGGAUUUACUGGGUGUAAAGGGCGUGUAGGCGGGACUGCAAGUCAGAUGUGAAAACCACGGGCUCAACCUGUGGCCUGCAUUUGAAACUGUAGUUCUUGAGUACUGGAGAGGCAGACGGAAUUCCUAGUGUAGCGGUGAAAUGCGUAGAUAUUAGGAGGAACACCAGUGGCGAAGGCGGUCUGCUGGACAGCAACUGACGCUGAUGCUCGAAAGCGCGGGUAUCGAACAGGAUUAGAUACCCUGGUAGUC
rnacentral:rRNA from 1 species